rnacentral:rRNA from 1 species
GUACGAUCGCAAGAUUAAAACUCAAAGGAAUUGACGGGGCCCCGCACAAGCAGCGGAGCAUGCGGCUUAAUUCGACGCAACGCGAAGAACCUUACCAAGGCUUGACAUAUAGCGAAAAGUGGCAGAGAUGUCAUGUCCGCAAGGGCGCUAUACAGGUGGUGCAUGGUUGUCGUCAGCUCGUGUCGUGAGAUGUUGGGUUAAGUCCCGCAACGAGCGCAACCCUCGUUCUGUGUUACCAGCAUUCAGUUGGGGACUCACAGGAGACUGCCGGGGUCAACUCGGAGGAAGGUGGGGAUGACGUCAAAUCAUCAUGCCCCUUAUGUCUUGGGCUGCACGCAUGCUACGAUGGCCGGUACAAAGUGCUGCGAGAUCGUAAGAUUGAGCGAAUCACAUAAAGCCGGUCUCAGUUCGGAUUGAGGUCUGCAACUCGACCUCAUGAAGUCGGAGUUGCUAGUAAUCGUAGAUCAGCAACGCUACGGUGAAUACGUUCCCGGGGCUUGUACACACCGCCCGUCACGUCACGAAAGUCGGUAACACCCAAAGUUAGUGGCCCAACCGCAAGGGGGGAGCUACCUAAGGUGGGAUCGGUGAUUGGGACGG